GUGGGGAAUAUUGGACAAUGGGCGAAAGCCUGAUCCAGCCAUGCCGCGUGUGUGAAGAAGGUCUUCGGAUUGUAAAGCACUUUAAGUUGGGAGGAAGGGCAGUAAGUUAAUACCUUGCUGUUUUGACGUUACCGACAGAAUAAGCACCGGCUAACUUCGUGCCAGCAGCCGCGGUAAUACGAAGGGUGCAAGCGUUAAUCGGAAUUACUGGGCGUAAAGCGCGCAUAGGUGGUUUUGUAAGUUGGAGGUGAAAUCCCCGGGCUCAACCUGGGAACUGCCUCCAAAACUGCAUGACUAGAGUACGGUAGAGGGUAGUGGAAUUUCCUGUGUAGCGGUGAAAUGCGUAGAUAUAGGAAGGAACACCAGUGGCGAAGGCGACUACCUGGACUGAUACUGACACUGAGGUGCGAAAGCGUGGGGAGCAAACAGGAUUAGAUACCCCGGUAGUCC
rnacentral:rRNA from 1 species